rnacentral:rRNA from 1 species
UGGCGGAAUGCUUUACACAUGCAAGUCGAACGGCAGCACGGACUUCGGUCUGGUGGCGAGUGGCGAACGGGUGAGUAACAUAUCGGAACGUAUCCAAUAAUGGGGGAUAACUAAUCGAAAGGUUGGCUAAUACCGCAUACGCCCUACGGGGGAAAGCAGGGGAUCUUCGGACCUUGCGUUAAUGGAGCGGCUGAUAUCUGAUUAGCUAGUUGGUGAGGUAAAGGCUCACCAAGGCGACGAUCAGUAGCUGGUCUGAGAGGACGACCAGCCACACUGGAACUGAGACACGGUCCAGACUCCUACGGGAGGCAGCAGUGGGGAAUUUUGGACAAUGGGCGCAAGCCUGAUCCAGCCAUUCCGCGUGAGUGAAGAAGGCCUUCGGGUUGUAAAGCUCUUUCGCAAGGGAAGAAAACUUACCUUUUAAUAAAGGGUGAGGUUGACGGUACCUUGAUAAGAAGCACCGGCUAACUACGUGCCAGCAGCCGCGGUAAUACGUAGGGUGCGAGCGUUAAUCGGAAUUACUGGGCGUAAAGCGUGCGCAGGCGGUUUUGUAAGUCAGAUGUGAAAUCCCCGAGCUCAACUUGGGAACUGCGUUUGAAACUACAAGACUAGAAUAUGUCAGAGGGGGGUAGAAUUCCACGUGUAGCAGUGAAAUGCGUAGAGAUGUGGAGGAAUACCAAUGGCGAAGGCAGCCCCCUGGGAUAAUAUUGACGCUCAUGCACGAAAGCGUGGGGAGCAAACAGGAUUAGAUACCCUGGUAGUCCACGCCCUAAACGAUGUCUACUAGUUGUUGGUGGAGUAAAAUCCAUGAGUAACGCAGCUAACGCGUGAAGUAGACCGCCUGGGGAGUGCGGCA